UACGGAGGGGGCUAGCGUUGUCCGAAGUUACUGGGCGUAAAGCGCGCGUAGGCGGGUUGGUAAGUCCGCUGUGAAAGCCCGGAGCUUAACUCCUGAGGGUCGGUGGAUACUGCCAGUCUUGAAGGUGCUAGGGGGAGAUGGAAUUACCGGUGUAGCGGUGAAAUGCGUAGAUAUCGGUAGGAACACCAGUGGCGAAGGCGGUCUCCUGGGGCAUUCUUGACGCUGAGGCGCGAAAGCUAGGGGAGCAAACGGG
rnacentral:rRNA from 1 species